GCUUAACACAUGCAAGUCGAACGAAGCAUUUCUGUGGAAGCUUUCGGGUGGAAACAGAAGUGACUUAGUGGCGGACGGGUGAGUAACACGUGGGUAACCUGCCUCAAAGUGGGGGAUAGCCUUCCGAAAGGAAGAUUAAUACCGCAUAACCCAUAGCUUCCGCAUGGAAGCAAUGGUAAAGAUUUAUCGCUUUGAGAUGGACCCGCGGCGCAUUAGCUAGUUGGUGAGGUAACGGCUCACCAAGGCCACGAUGCGUAGCCGACCUGAGAGGGUGAUCGGCCACAUUGGAACUGAGACACGGUCCAGACUCCUACGGGAGGCAGCAGUGGGGAAUAUUGCACAAUGGGCGAAAGCCUGAUGCAGCAACGCCGCGUGAGUGAUGAAGGCCUUCGGGUUGUAAAGCUCUGUCUUUUGGGACGAUAAUGACGGUACCAAAGGAGGAAGCCACGGCUAACUACGUGCCAGCCGCCGCGGUAAGAC
rnacentral:rRNA from 1 species